AAUGAAGUGCCUGAUUUUAAAAGGAUUAUUUUGAUAGAAUAAAUUAUGCUAAUUUAGCCUUCAUUA
rnacentral:tRNA from 1 species